GCAGUCGAACGGUGAAGCCCAGCUUGCUGGGUGGAUCAGUGGCGAACGGGUGAGUAACACGUGAGCAAUCUGCCCCUGACUCUGGGAUAAGCGCUGGAAACGGCGUCUAAUACUGGAUAUGAACCGUGGAGGCAUCUUCAACGGUUGGAAAGAUUUUUUGGUCAGGGAUGAGCUCGCGGCCUAUCAGCUUGUUGGUGAGGUAAUGGCUCACCAAGGCGUCGACGGGUAGCCGGCCUGAGAGGGUGACCGGCCACACUGGGACUGAGACACGGCCCAGACUCCUACGGGAGGCAGCAGUGGGGAAUAUUGCACAAUGGGCGCAAGCCUGAUGCAGCAACGCCGCGUGAGGGAUGACGGCCUUCGGGUUGUAAACCUCUUUUAGCAGGGAAGAAGCGAAAGUGACGGUACCUGCAGAAAAAGCGCCGGCUAACUACGUGCCAGCAGCCGCGGUAAUACGUAGGGCGCAAGCGUUAUCCGGAAUUAUUGGGCGUAAAGAGCUCGUAGGCGGUUUGUCGCGUCUGCUGUGAAAUCCCGAGGCUCAACCUCGGGUCUGCAGUGGGUACGGGCAGACUAGAGUGCGGUAGGGGAGAUUGGAAUUCCUGGUGUAGCGGUGGAAUGCGCAGAUAUCAGGAGGAACACCGAUGGCGAAGGCAGAUCUCUGGGCCGUAACUGACGCUGAGGAGCGAAAGGGUGGGGAGCAAACAGGCUUAGAUACCCUGGUAGUCCACCCCGUAAACGUUGGGAACUAGUUGUGGGGUCCAUUCCACGGAUUCCGUGACGCAGCUAACGCAUUAAGUUCCCCGCCUGGGGAGUACGGCCGCAAGGCUAAAACUCAAAGGAAUUGACGGGGACCCGCACAAGCGGCGGAGCAUGCGGAUUAAUUCGAUGCAACGCGAAGAACCUUACCAAGGCUUGACAUAUACGAGAACGCUGCAGAAAUGUAGAACUCUUUGGACACUCGUAAACAGGUGGUGCAUGGUUGUCGUCAGCUCGUGUCGUGAGAUGUUGGGUUAAGUCCCGCAACGAGCGCAACCCUCGUUCUAUGUUGCCAGCACGUAAUGGUGGGAACUCAUGGGAUACUGCCGGGGUCAACUCGGAGGAAGGUGGGGAUGACGUCAAAUCAUCAUGCCCCUUAUGUCUUGGGCUUCACGCAUGCUACAAUGGCCGGUACAAAGGGCUGCAAUACCGUAAGGUGGAGCGAAUCCCAAAAAGCCGGUCCCAGUUCGGAUUGAGGUCUGCAACUCGACCUCAUGAAGUCGGAGUCGCUAGUAAUCGCAGAUCAGCAACGCUGCGGUGAAUACGUUCCCGGGUCUUGUACACACCGCCCGUCAAGUCAUGAAAGUCGGUAACACCUGAAGCCGGUGGCCCAACCCU
rnacentral:rRNA from 1 species